rnacentral:rRNA from 1 species
AAACUCAAAGGAAUUGACGGGGGCCCGACAAGCGGUGGAGCAUGUGGUUUAAUUCGAAGCAACGCGAAGAACCUUACCAGGUCUUGACAUCCUUUGACCACUCUAGAGAUAGAGCUUUCCCUUCGGGGACAAAGUGACAGGUGGUGCAUGGUUGUCGAUCAGCUCGUGUCGUGAGAUGUUGGGUUAAGUCCCGCAACGAGCGCAACCCUUAUUGUUAGUUGCCAUCAUUUAGUUGGGCACUCUAGCGAGACUGCCGGUGACAAACCGGAGGAAGGUGGGGAUGACGUCAAAUCAUCAUGCCCCUUAUGACCUGGGCUACACACGUGCUACAAUGGGAAGUACAACGAGUCGCUAGACCGCGAGGUCAUGCAAAUCUCUUAAAGCUUCUGCUCAGUUCGGAUUGCAGGCUGCAACUCGCCUGCAUGAAGCCGGAAUCGCUAGUAAUCGCGGAUCAGCACGCCGCGGUGAAUACGUUCCCGGGCCUUGUACACACCGCCCGU